AACGAACGCUGGCGGCAGGCUUAACACAUGCAAGUCGAGCACCCCGCAAGGGGAGCGGCAGACGGGUGAGUAACGCGUGGGAAUCUACCCAUCUCUACGGAAUAACGCAUGGAAACGUGUGCUAAUACCGUAUACGUCCUUCGGGAGAAAGAUUUAUCGGAGAUGGAUGAGCCCGCGUUGGAUUAGCUAGUUGGUGGGGUAAAGGCCUACCAAGGCGACGAUCCAUAGCUGGUCUGAGAGGAUGAUCAGCCACACUGGGACUGAGACACGGCCCAGACUCCUACGGGAGGCAGCGGUGGGGAAUAUUGGACAAUGGGCGCAAGCCUGAUCCAGCCAUGCCGCGUGAGUGAUGAAGGCCCUAGGGUUGUAAAGCUCUUUCACCGGUGAAGAUAAUAACGGUAACCGGAGAAGAAGCCCCGGCUAACUUCGUGCCAGCCGCCGCGGUAACAC
rnacentral:rRNA from 1 species